rnacentral:rRNA from 1 species
AUUGAACGCUGGCGGCAUGCUUUACACAUGCAAGUCGAACGGUAACAGGCCUUCGGGUGCUGACGAGUGGCGAACGGGUGAGUAAUGCAUCGGAACGUACCCAGAGGUGGGGGAUAUCGCAGCGAAAGCUGUGCUAAUACUGCAUGUGAUCUGAGGAUGAAAGCGGGGGACCGAGCAGCAAUGUUUGGCCUCGCGCCUUUGGAGCGGCCGAUGUCGGAUUAGCUAGUUGGUGGGGUAAAGGCCUACCAAGGCGACGAUCCGUAGCUGGUCUGAGAGGACGACCAGCCACACUGGGACUGAGACACGGCCCAGACUCCUACGGGAGGCAGCAGUGGGGAAUUUUGGACAAUGGGCGCAAGCCUGAUCCAGCAAUGCCGCGUGCGGGAAGAAGGCCUUCGGGUUGUAAACCGCUUUUGGCAGGAACGAAACGGUGUCCGCUAAUACCGGGCGCUAAUGACGGUACCUGCAGAAUAAGCACCGGCUAACUACGUG